rfam:Myotis brandtii contig176227, whole genome shotgun sequence.
AGACCCAGAGAGAGAGGCAGGGUCUGAUCUGCAGCCUCAGUGGCAGCUGUUGUUCAGUACUGGCCUCUCUCUUUCUCUCCC